rnacentral:tRNA from 1 species
AGCGAGGUGGGGAAGCCAGGCCUAUCCCGGCGGGCUCAUAACCCGCAGAGCGGACGUUCAAAUCGUCCCCUCGCUACCA